rnacentral:ncRNA from 2 species
AAGACUAAUCGAACCAUCUA